CUUGAUCUGUUGAAGAAUGGUUUGGAUAAUACAAACUCCUACCACAUCUCAGUUAUGUCUGAUAAGCAAAAGGUACCAUGCUUAUUAACAACAUCCUAGUCAUGUUUUGGUUUAGUAUUAAUAUUUUUCUUAUUAGUAGUUUCGUACAUUCAUGUUACAAGGACUUGUGGAAGUAUUGGAAGAAGUUUUUGUUAGUUUAAUUAAUCUUCGGUGAGGAAAAUCUCGAACACACAAACGGAACUUGAACAGAAAAAAAUAGGACAAGGCUCCAAGGCGUGUAUCAAGCCACUAUCUUUAAGGUUA
rnacentral:lncRNA from 1 species